AAUACGUAGGUGGCGAGCGUUAUCCGGAAUUAUUGGGCGUAAAGCGCGCGCAGGCGGUUUCUUAAGUCUGAUGUGAAAGCCCACGGCUCAACCGUGGAGGGUCAUUGGAAACUGGGAGACUUGAGUGCAGAAGAGAAGAGUGGAAUUCCACGUGUAGCGGUGAAAUGCGUAGAGAUGCGGAGGAACACCAGUGGCGAAGGCGACUCUUUGGUCUGUAACUGACGCUGAGGCGCGAAAGCGUGGGGAGCAAACA
rnacentral:rRNA from 1 species